UCUGUUUCUGUCCCAGGAGGAGAAGUUGGAGAGGGACUUGAACAUGGAGACAUAACAUUUGGCCAGUGGCCUGAGUCAUCCCACAGGGCAAGGCUUCGUCCCUGUCACUGCUGGAGGAUCGGAGACACACCCACCUACGCACGCAGUGCGUGCUCUAUUGUCAGUGUCCCAGCUCUGAACAAGCUGUAGUCUGGACACAUGCUCUUUUCUCCCCUGCCACAGAUGCACCCACACAUGUCUGUGGACCUGUGCUCCAUCACCUAAACCAAGGCAGCUUCAUACUCCCCCCAGAACUACGCCAAGCUGCAGCUUCCUCACUUGAAAAGCAGAAGGGAUAAAUUAGUGCCUCCUGGGGCAACCAUAGGAUUAAACUGAGAUUGCUUUUUCUUCCUCAAGCACAUUUAUUUCAUCACCCUCAAACUUUUACACUUCACUUUCUUUUUAAAGGCCAUCUUUCCUGUUUAGCAGUUAUAAUGCUAACACAUGCUCAAAAUACAAAACUUGGGAGAUGUAGGAAAGUAGAAAGAAGGAAGAAAAGUCCGAUGCCAGUGACCAGAGGUAGCAGCACACCCCCAAGGAACGAAGUGAGAAUAUGCGGCAUGCAAGUGUCAUAUUCUGUUCUUUCCAUUAACAGCAUACACCGGAUUUUUUACUCGAGUUUUCAGAUGCAGACUCAUGCCCUGAUCUCUUGAUUUUUUAUGUGAACACACGUUUGGCACUCAAUAUGUCCCACCAGGAAGUUCCUCUUCCUUAAAACUCCUGGGCGGAGGAAGGGAGUCCUGUGAAGUUGGGAGACCUGGGUUCAAGGUGUCCUACAAUGCCCCCACCUUUCCUUCAGCUUCCAGGCAGGCUGCAGUAGCCUGGAGCGCCUUAUGGAUAUUAACUCCCUCAACCCUGACGGCAGCCCAGUGGGGAGGGUGCACUUCCCUUCAAGUCUUACAGGUGGAGUCUCGCUCUGUCUCCCAGGCUGGAGUGCAGUGGCGCGAUCUCGGCUCACUGCAAGCUCUGCCUCCCGGGUUCACACCAUUCUCCUGCCUCAGCCUCCGGAGUAGCUGGGACUACAGGCGCCCGCCACCACGCCCGGCUAUUUUGUAUUUUUAGUAGAGACAGGGGUUUCACCGUGUUUGCCAGGACGGUCUUGAUCUCCUGACCUCGUGAUCCGCCCACCUCGGCCUCCCAAAGUGCUGGGAUUACAGGCGUGAGCCACCCUGCCAGGCCUCAUGUUUGCUUAUCUUAACCAAAAUGAGCCCUCGUUUCACUUUCCUGUUCUACCCUAAGGAAGAUAAAAUAUCAUUCCAACUUGGGGUAGAGGCAGGUGCCAGUACCCAAGACCCUGGGCUGUGCAGCAGGGGCUACUGUAAACCCAAGACCCUAAACUUCCUCCCUCUGCCAGAGCCAGGGAGCAGCUCUGACGCCCUCUAGCCCCUUCUCCGUUAGCCUCGAUUUCAAAUAAAAACACUGUGAACAUGAAA